rnacentral:rRNA from 1 species
UAUACGCAAGUGAUUUGGUAGUAAACCAAUAAAACGCUUAAUGAAAAUAAAAGGCACUUUAAUGUGUUUUAUAUGCAAUCUGUACGUGUCGCAAAUAGCGCUAGCGUAUGGCGGAGCAUAUCCCUGUCACUAUUGCUUGCAAUAAGGCGGAGGUAGAGCGUAUACGUUGGGACCCGAAAGAUGGUGAACUAUGCCUGAGCAGGAUAAAGCCAGAGGAAACCCUGGUGGAAGUCCGAAGCGAUUCUGACGUGCAAAUCGAUCGUCUGACUUUGGUAUAGGGGCGAAAGACUAAUCGAACUAUC